AAAUUGUUUGACACUUCAGAGAGAGCACAUAAUCUUAUUGCUGAAAGUGUGGAAUUCAUCCAGUCCAAUGACUUCACUAUAGGAGUCCAAGAUGGAUGCUGGUGAUCCAGUGAUAAACCUACUUCCUGGCAAUAAUGUUUUAUCAGGAAUAUCACUCAGUACUUUCUGCUUAUAUCUCAUUUGCCACUUUCAUCUGCAGAGACCACAGGACACAGGACAACAUCCAGACCACAUCCACA